AUGAUAGUAAUCUUUUGGAAUAUCAGAGGCUCGAAUAGCCCUGGUAAAAUCUUGAGGGUGCAAGAGUUGAUUAGAACUCAAUGCCCUGAUAUUAUUUGUUUUUCUGAAACUAAUAAAGAAACUUUCACUACCUUACAAUUGGAAGCCAUUGACAAUAGAUGUGGUUUCCUAUGGAAAUGGCUCCCUGUAGAUAACGCUGCAGGGGGGCUCUUGAUUGGAGUGAAAGAGGAUUUGUUUGAUAUUAGCCUCUAUAAUAUUCAUACUUUUUGUAUCUCCAUGUCUUUAAAGAAUAAGCAAGAUCAAAAAGAAUGGAGGUUGGUGUCUGUAUAUGGGUCUACUUAUGAUGCUCUUAAGCUGGAUUUUAUUAAUGAAUUGCAUAACAUACUAGCUGGCUGGGAUGGCCCUACUAUUAUAGGUGGGGAUUUCAAUCUCAUUAGGGAGGCU
rnacentral:rRNA from 1 species